GUCACCCUAAAAACACGCCCUCAUCCGUCCCUGGAUAACUCCACUGUCCCCACAGUCCUGAGCCCUGGCCACCCUGGGAGUGACUCUGCUGGGGAGCGUGAGGGAGAAUAUGCAGAAUGCGGCCACCGGGCCAUGCGGUAGUGUUCGUUUCACGGCCCAGGGAACGCCGAGCUGUCCUCCAGCGGAGCGGCUGUCCCCGCCCGGGAUUUUAUGUAUUUAUUUGGAAGACGGAGAUAGGUGAGCACAGGCAGAGGGAGGGGCAGACUCCCCACUCCCAGGACCCCCAGAUCAUGAUCUGAGCCGAAGGCAGAGGCUUCACCGGCUGAGCCACCCCGGAGUCCCUGAUUUGAA